rnacentral:rRNA from 1 species
GACGAACGCUGGCGGCGUGCUUAACACAUGCAAGUCGAACGGAAAGGCCUCUUUCGGGGGGUACUCGCGUGGCGAACGGGUGAGUAACACGUGAGUAACCUGCCCUUGACUUUGGGAUAACUUCAGGAAACUGGGGCUAAUACCGGAUAGGAGCUCCUGCUGCAUGGUGGGGGUUGGAAAGUUUCGGCGGUUGGGGAUGGACUCGCGGCUUAUCAGCUUGUUGGUGGGGUAGUGGCUUACCAAGGCUUUGACGGGGAGCCGGCCUUGGAGGGUGACCGGCCACAUUGGGACUGGGAUACGGCCCAGACCCCUACGGGAGGCAGCAGGGGGGAAUAUUGCACAAUGGGUGGAAGCCUGAUGUAGCAACGCCGGGGGCGGGAUGACGGCCUUCGGGUUGUAAACCGCUUUCGCUCAUGACGAAGCUGUGUGUGACGGUAGUGGGUAAAGAAGCACCGGCUAACUACGUG